rnacentral:rRNA from 1 species
ACGCUCGACACCUACGGGAGACAGCAGUGGGGAAUAUUGCACAAUGGGGGAAACCCUGAUGCAGCGACGCCGCGUGAGCGAAGAAGUAUUUCGGUAUGUAAAGCUCUAUCAGCAGGGAAGAAACUGACGGUACCUGACUAAGAAGCACCGGCUAAAUACGUGCCAANAGCCGCGGUAAUCUGAGCGGGCUGGCAAGGC